rnacentral:rRNA from 1 species
AUUGAACGCUGGCGGCAGGCCUAACACAUGCCAGUCGAGCGGAUGAAGGGAGCUUGCUCCUGGAUUCAGCGGCGGACGGGUGAGUAAUGCCUAGGAAUCUGCCUGGUAGUGGGGGAUAACGUCCGGAAACGGGCGCUAAUACCGCAUACGUCCUGAGGGAGAAAGUGGGGGAUCUUCGGACCUCACGCUAUCAGAUGAGCCUAGGUCGGAUUAGCUAGUUGGUGGGGUAAAGGCCUACCAAGGCGACGAUCCGUAACUGGUCUGAGAGGAUGAUCAGUCACACUGGAACUGAGACACGGUCCAGACUCCUACGGGAGGCAGCAGUGGGGAAUAUUGGACAAUGGGCGAAAGCCUGAUCCAGCCAUGCCGCGUGUGUGAAGAAGGUCUUCGGAUUGUAAAGCACUUUAAGUUGGGAGGAAGGGCAGUAAGUUAAUACCUUGCUGUUUUGACGUUACCAACAGAAUAAGCACCAGCUAACUUCGUG